rnacentral:lncRNA from 10 species
CCAAGAACUACUUUAUGAAGAGGAAGAUGAGGAUACUGACAGAGUAAAAUCAUGGAGAAAAUGGAAGAACUGAAUGCAGACAUGAGAAGUUAAAUCACAGAAGAAAAGUUAAGCAGGAACUUGAGAGAGGGAUGAACUGUGACAAGUUGUAAGAAGGAAGACCAGGACUCACCAGGAAAAUAAUAAAUUGUCCUUGAUCGUACAAAAGAAUGUGUUAAUGGAAUUUUCCUAAUAAAUGUGAGAGAAUGUCAGCAUAAAUAUUGAUUUUAAAAACAACUUGAAUUGUCUGACUUGUUUAAGAAGUUUCACUUCUAAAUAAGCAAAAGAAAAUAAUUUCAAGAAUUUGAAUAUUAUAUAAUGCAUUUGGGGAAAUAUAUUUAGAGUUGCUCAAAUAAUUGUUGUUGAUGGUGAGGUUAGAGUCAUGUAACCCUGAAUUAACAUAUUCUACAUAUUAUAUAAACUGUACCAAGGGCAAUUUUGCUUCAGGACAAGUUAAAGGCAAUGAUAGUCUUAUGUAUAUAUUUUGAUAUCUCCAUAGAUAGUUGGAAAGAAUAUUUAUCUUAACAUGAAUUUGGAAGUUUUGACCAGUGUGAGUCUUGACACUUUAUUUUAUUUUAUUAUUAUUAUUUUUUUGAGACAGAAUCUCACUCUGUCGCCAGGCUGGAGUGCAGUGGCUGUGAUCUUGGCUCACUGCAACCUUCAUCUCCUGGGUUCAAGCAAUU